rnacentral:rRNA from 1 species
AUUGAACGCUGGCGGCAUGCCUUACACAUGCAAGUCGAACGGCAGCGGGCCUUCGGGUGCCGGCGAGUGGCGAACGGGUGAGUAAUGCAUCGGAACGUGCCAUUGAGUGGGGGAUAACGUAGCGAAAGUUACGCUAAUACCGCAUAUUCUGUGAGCAGGAAAGCAGGGGACCGCAAGGCCUUGCGCUCUUUGAGCGGCCGAUGUCAGAUUAGCUAGUUGGUGAGGUAAAGGCUUACCAAGGCGACGAUCUGUAGCGGGUCUGAGAGGAUGAUCCGCCACACUGGAACUGAGACACGGUCCAGACUCCUACGGGAGGCAGCAGUGGGGAAUUUUGGGCAAUGGAGGCAGCUCUGAACCAGCCAUGCCGCGUGCAGGAAGACGGCCUUAUGGGUUGUAAACUGCUUUUAAUCAGGAAUAAACCCCGGUUCGUGAGCCGGGUUGAAGGUACUGGUUGAAUAAGCACCGGCUAACUCCGUGCCAGCAGCCGCGGUAA